UUUAUCCACAUCCAAAACCCACCCCAGAGUUCUACAUGACUGUUUCUGUCCAUAGCCUGGGGUCAGGAUUAAAGAGCAUUGGUAGGGGCCCAGGAUUGGAAGAGCAGAGGGACUGCAGGUCAAUACUAUGGGGUCCCAGCAGAGUGUUUGUGAGGGGCUCAUAAUUAGAAUAACAAGGCCACUGCAGAUCUGGAUUGAGGUACAUUGGUAAUGUACAGAAACCUCUUGCACUGCACCUAUCAGUAUUAUGAGUGGCUUUAGCCAAUAGUAUCACUUCCUCAGAUUCCUGUCCCACACCUUCCUUUUUGACCUCCCUGAUAUGCAUACUCUCAGCUAUGGGAGCUAGAGGCCAGGGCCAGGGAAUCAGGCCAGAUCUCCGCUAUAGUACGUCUCUUUUUCUAAAUUGGCACCAAUCACUAACGUGAGAUUUAAGGCCAGAUUCUGCCACUCUUAUUCACAAUGAGUAUUCCCUUAGUCUGAGUAGUCCCUUUGAUUUUAAAUAGAGCUAAUUGAAGACUAAGAUACUACUCAGUGGGAAUAAAAGAGGCAUAAUCUGGCAAAUAAUAAAUAACACAGCAAACAUGCACCCCUCUGCUGUUUCACUCUUUACUGUUUCCAUGGCAAAGAGUAUCUUAAUCCUUAGAAUUAAGCAACAUCGCCCCCUGCAUGUAAAGUACAUUGAAGCAUCCUGGCGUUUUAUCAUAGGGCCCCACUGCCUGUUGAGUAUCAGUUUUACUCAAAUUAACUUAAUGUAAACCAGCCCUGCAAGUUCCAACCUGGUCCCCUCUGCUCUUGGCCAUAAAUGCCUGGCCUGGGGAGAAAGGAGAGAGGCAGAGAUGGAAUCGCGCUACACAGCAAUCCAUCAGGAAUGGACACCACUGGCAAACGGACACAAGGGAUCAACAGCAUGUAGCCCUGCCCAGGUUGACUCUUAUUUCUCUCUGACAGGUACCUGAAGGGCCUGGCUCUUUUCUUUACACUGGCAUCACUUGUGGGCCCAAUCAAUUCUCCUUGAAAUGAACGGUCUCUCUCCAGGUCAUCAUAGGAACUAGUGCCCAAAAUUACUGAGAUGACAUCAUAGUCACAGGUCUGCAGAAAACAGGGGGUUACUCAGGUCCCUGACCACUGGAACGGGGUGGGACGAUUACGGAAUAAGUCAGCUGCCAAGUGAAAGGGGGAAGAUCUGCCUGAAGUCAGGAGACCCCCUGUCCGACUGCAGUCUUCCCUUGCAAUUGCUCGUAA